AUGGACUGGCGGCGGGCAGGGAGCCCAACAUACGGCCGGCGACGCUCGCCAGCGGAGAUGUAUUCCGCCCCGGCGUCCCCGGCACACCCCCUGGGUCCAGCCACGUCGUCACCGGUACACCCUCUGGCGGCGCGGUCCAAGGCGCGCGCCGCGGCGGCGCUGGCGCAUGUCAUGUCGCGCCCAGGCGCGCGAGUCGCCGCCGCAGACUCCGACUCCGACGAGAACGGGUACGGAGACGACGACGGCAGCACCAACGGGCGUUACGGCGGCGGCCGGAGCCCCUUGCACGGGUACGUUGCAAAGAGCGCCGGCGGCGUCAAGGACAAGUUCUUCGGGAUGGCGUUGCCCAAGACACCACACGAGCUCAAGAUGAUGAUAACAUGGCCAUUGCCGGCGAGAGCUCGGACAAGACCACACAUGAGGCAAGAUAGGGGGAUAGCAGUCCGUACGGGGAGAGGAAGGGUCAUGGGGAGAAGAAAUUAUGUCUUGAAGAAUUCUUUCAUUGGUCCUUUCAAAAAAAAAAUCCAUCCGGCCGCUGCCGCUGUGCCAUAUGCGCACAAGGCCAGCAUGGCCCGAGCGUCUGGACCAGGCCUCAUCGCGCGUCCCCCAAUGGGCCUCCGCACCCGAGCUGACCUGGUCGCUCCGUCCUUUUGCUCGAGUCGCACGCCCACUGCGCUCGCGUGUCACGCCGCCGCCAGCCUUCCCGUCCGUCAACGCCAAAUUUCCAACCUGCCCUCUCUUUCCGACCCAAACGCGAGGCUCUGAGGGCAGAGAGAGAGAGAGAGAGAGAGGAGAACGAGUCAAACAAAAGUCAAAGCUACAGAAAUGGACGCAGGCCGGGCCAGCGGCGUCGGCCCCGCCCGGAGGCCACGACCCGCCGCCGCGGCGUCGGAUCCCCGGCGCGCGGCUGCGGCGCGGGAGGCCAUGUUGCGCAUGGAGGAGGUCAUGAUGGCCCACGCGGGCGCGGCGGGCGAGUUCAGCAUGAUCAUCGAAGCUCCGCUCCCCAACCUCCAGCGCUACCGCCGCAACGCGACGCCUCCUGCGGCCCCGUCGUCUGACUCUCCCUCGCGGAGGCGCGGCGGACCUCAUGACCCCGGCGCGAGGGACGACGUCCCCACGCGAUUGCGGCGCGAGGGAAGCGUGACCGAGGACGUCGGCAACGCUCGGGGGGUACGCGGCGGGGAGGACAUGGGCUACGCGGACGACGCGCGCUCGCGUCGCGGCACCGGGGACGCUCGAGGGGCGCGACCUGCAAGCACUCGCGGCCGGGAGGAAGAGUCGGAGGCGCCGGUGCGGAUGAGAGACCCGCGGAGGGAGAGCGGCCGUCUCAGCGCGCCUCCUGGGAGGGUCGUCGAGGCGCAGCCAGACGUCGCGUCGGCCGUGGAGGAGGAGACACCACUGCAGCAGCUGUCACGCGGAGCGCGGAGUUCGAGCGCGGAUAGGCGCGUGGAAGCGGCACCGGAGGCGGAGGCGAUGGCCGCGAGACCAUCAAGCCGAGGAUCGAGGCGGGAGGGCAGUCGGGAUGCCGUGGUGAAUCCUAUUGUUACUGAGCCGGCGGUGGAGGCGUUGGCUGCCAGACCACCAAGCCGACGAUCGAGGCGGGAUGGCAGCGGGGACGACGCUGUGAAUCCUAUUGUUGCUGAGCCGGCCGUGGAGGUGUUGGCUGUCAGACCACCGAGCCGGCGAUCGAGGCGGGAGGGCAGUGGGGAGGCCGUUGUGAAUGCUAUUGUUGCCGAGCCCGAGCUGGAGGCCGAUGUGGAGAGUGUCGGGUGGGGUAGCAGCCGAGGGAGUGAGGAUGGAGGCGAGGAGCCGGUGGCGUUGCCAAAGCCGCUGGAGUCAAUACUCACCGGAGGCCGUAGCAGGAGCAACUCACCGGCCAUAAGUAAUGUCAACGAUGAUCAAUCGCACCAAUUUCUUGGAAUUUACUGUGAACCAAUUUGCUCAAACUAGGCUAAACAUAAUUUCUUUUAUAAACCGAGGCAAAUUUCUUCCAUAGCAGUGCUAGCAGGUAAGGGGGGCAUUUAGUUGACAAAGCAUACAAACUGCAUCAGGGGUUUAAGUGGUAGAGCUCAUUUUGUCUGAAAAUCUCUCCUGGUUGAAGUUGCUGCCACCACCCAUUUGAAGAUCCAUCCUACCCCAGCAAGAUUGUCCGAAAGGGCACGAACCAAGGAGAAGAUCACGAGUUUCAACCAUGUUGCCUGAGUGGAGAACACACCUGUUGCUAUCAGAAACUUGUCAGUUUUUCAUUUCCAUAAUGUCCCUAGUGUUCAGCCUGUCAUUAAUUAGGAGGCAAGCAAAUCCCUUGAGCUUGGAAGUGCACGUAUAAGUCCAGAGCCGCUUCAUGAUCCGCGGGCAUUGAUCGUGGGUGAACAACAGAUUAUACCAAAUCAGCCAGAGCGAUGUGGAGAGGACCAAGAAUGGUCAGAGUUGGAGCUGGUCUGAAGGCUGAGAAAUCUCCCCUGAAGAUCUGAAAUUCAUCGAUGUUGAUGUAAAAAUCGGCAGAAUUGUUUGUCACCUAAUGUUUUUGUUUGUCAAUAACAGGAAUUGUAGUUGGUAGGUUGUUUUCAUGGUGGUGCUGCAUUUGAUGUUUCUUUUUGGUAGAAUUUAAGCUUGUUGUGCUUCAUGCUGAAUGGUAAAAAAGUAAACGGAUGGAAAACUUGAUUUGACUUUUGAUUGUCUUUAAGUACUGAACUAUUGAUGCAUGUGCAUGAUAACCUGAUUAUAAUAAUUGAAGGAUGAUGUGCUUUUCAGAAUUUCAGUUUUCAGUUCUAUGAAUUGGCCGGCUUAUUAUAUUUGUCCUCGUUUACCUAGUUAGGUCGGAACGGUGUGGACUCUGGUGUAGCAAAUCGCGCACAAUCAACAGGAAGGUCAAGUUUUGUACCACCUGUUGGGGCUAAUGUGAGGCCUCUACAAGCUGUGGAGGUGCCCAAUGGGACACCUAGAGAAAGAAGGACAAUCUAUCCAGAUCCUACUUUCGCGCAGUCCGGUCGAUCAAGAGAUUCACAUGACAGUUCAACACUAACAGAAGAGGUUGAGAUGCUCAAAGAUGAGAAUGUGAAUCUUUUGGAAAAGCUUGGACUAGCAGAAGAGAAAUUUAGACAAUCUGAAGCUCGGACAAGGGAGCUUGAGAAACAGGUUGCUAAUCUUGGUGAUGGAUUAUCUAUGGAAGUUAAACUUAUGAAAAGGAGGGAGGAGAUGCUAGUGAGGAAGGAGCAAGAAAUAAGGAAAGCGCUUAUAUCCAAAAAUGAUAAAAGCGAGGAAAUCACCACUCUUCAACAACAGCUCCAGUCUGCAAGUGAAAAGGCUGCAGUUGCUGAGCGGAAACUCAAUGAGGCUGAAUCUGAAACAAAAGCCUUACGCACAAUGACACAGAGGAUGAUCUUAAGCAAAGAAGAAAUGGAAGAAGUUGUUAUGAAGAGAUGUUGGCUUGCCCGUUACUGGGGCUUGGCUGUCCAAUAUGGCAUCUAUCCAGACAUCUCUAUGUCAAAAUAUGAAUACUGGUCUUCGUUUGCUCCUCUUCCCCUCGAGUAUGUGACAUCAGCUGGACUGAGAGCUAAGGAUGGAGGUAGUAAUGAUUUGGAAGAAACAGACAUGCUUGUUCAUGAUUUGACUGUCACAGCAGGAGAAGGCAACAUAGAAACAAUGCUUGCUGUUGAUAAGGGACUUAAAGAACUUGCCUUCUUAAAGGUUGAGGAUGCUGUUCUUAUUGCUCUUGCCCAACAUCAUCGUCCAAAUGUUGCAGAGCUAUCAGAUCCAGAUAUUAAAUCAUCCGGUGAUGAAAAAUUCACUGAGGCAUUUGACCUAAGCAAGGAGGAAGAGGAAGACGUGUUGUUCAAGCAGGCUUGGCUCAUGUAUUUCUGGAGAAGGGCUAAAACCCAUAAUGUGGAAGAGGAUAUCGCAGAGGAGCGACUGCAGAUGUGGGUUGAUCGACAUGGGCAGCAACCAACUUCACAUGAUGCUGUAGAUGUUGAGCAAGGGAUACAUGAAUUGAGGAAGCUGGGAAUCGAACAACUGCUGUGGGAAUUCUCCCGCCAGGAGGUGAAUGUUGCCGAAGGUGAAUUGUCCGAUCCUGAAGAUGAUCUGACCUAGGAGACUCGGUCCUCAAUAGGCGACGACCAUGAAUCGCUCCCAUUCAGCUGAGUGAGACCUCUGUACUAUACCGAAACCGCAGGACAUUGUAAAGAUAUUUCUGGUUUUGGUUUGGACUUCCGAGUUCCACCUCCAGAACAGUUCUUUGAUUUUAUUUUAUUUUUGUACAUAACCUGCAUCCAACAGUGUUAUGAAAGCGGCUUGAAAGGAUAAAAUAAUUCAUUAUACAUAAGUGAUGUACUUUCCAUGAGCCUAACAGAUAGCUGAAGUAGUCACUGUCUAUAUAACCAUCCCA
rnacentral:rRNA from 1 species